rnacentral:rRNA from 1 species
AACGAACGCUGGCGGCAGGCUUAACACAUGCAAGUCGAACGAGAUCUUCGGAUCUAGUGGCAGACGGGUGAGGAACACGUGGGAACAUCCCUUUCAGUUCGGAAUAACGUUGGGAAACUAACGCUAAUACCGGAUACGUCCUUCGGGAGAAAGAUUUAUCGCUGAAAGAUUGGCCCGCGUCUGAUUAGCUAGUUGGUGAGGUAAUGGCUCACCAAGGCUACGAUCAGUAGCUGAUCUGAGAGGAUGAUCAGCCACAUUGGGACUGAGACACGGCCCAAACUCCUACGUGAGGCAGCAGUGGGGAAUAUUGGACAAUGGGCGCAAGCCUGAUCCAGCCAUGCCGCGUGAGUGAUGAAGGCCUUCGGGUUGUAAAGCUCUUUUAUCCGGGAAGAUAAUGACUGUACCGGAAGAAUAAGCCCCGGCAAACUUCGUGCCAGCAGCCGCGGUAAGAC